rnacentral:rRNA from 1 species
GACGAACGCUGGCGGCGUGCUUAACACAUGCAAGUCGAGCGGAAAGGCCACUUCGGUGGUACUCGAGCGGCGAACGGGUGAGUAACAAGUGAGUAAUCUGCCCCUGGCUUUGGGAUAGCCACCGGAAACGGUGAUUAAUACCGGAUACGACCACUUCUCGCAUGGGAUGGUGGUGGAAAGUUUUUUCGGCCAGGGAUGUGCUCGCGGCCUAUCAGCUUGAUGGUGAGGUAAUGGCUCACCAUGGCUUCGACGAGUAGCCGGCCUGAGAGGGUGAACGGUAACACUGGGACAGAGACACGGCACAGACUCCUACGGGAGGCAGCAGUGGGGAAUACUGGACAAUGGGCGGAAGCCCGAUCCAGCAACGCCGCGUGAGGGAUGACGGCCUUCGGGUUGUAAACCUCUUUCAGCAGGGACGAAGCGCAAGUGACGGUACCUGCAGAAGAAGCACCGGCCAACUACGUGCCAGCCGCCGCGGUAA